rnacentral:rRNA from 1 species
UACGGAGGAUCCGAGCGUUAUCCGGAUUUAUUGGGUUUAAAGGGUGCGUAGGCGGUUUGAUAAGUUAGAGGUGAAAUGUCGGGGCACAACCCCGAAACUGCCUCUAAUACUGUUGGACUAGAGAAUAGUUGCGGUAGGCGGAAUGUAUGGUGUAGCGGUGAAAUGCUUAGAGAUCAUACAGAACACCGAUUGCGAAGGCAGCUUACCAAACUAUAUCUGACGUUGAGGCACGAAAGCGUGGGUAGCAAACAGG